AUCAUCGAGUGGUGGGAAAAUAAAGAUCGGCAUAAAUGAUUUUUUUCGCAUUGGGAGGUUGGUCUUGCACAUAGCCGCAUAUGGGUCUCAACAAGCAGACCAAGACCACCGCCAUCGCCAUUGUGGGCACCAUCCCUCUCUAUCAAACUCUCAUUGCCAAGUUCAACCAGACCCCUGCCUUUGUGUACUUUGUGAUAGCCAAUGCGAUUGCUAGCGUUCAAAAAUGUGGAGAGACGUCUCCUGCUAAGAGCCUCCUAGUCUGUAGCCUGCUUUUCAUUAAUGGCUAACA